rnacentral:rRNA from 1 species
CAGUAGCCGCGGGAAUACGGAGGGUGCAAGCGUUAAUCGGAAUUACUGGGCGUAAAGCGCACGCAGGCGGUCUGUCAAGUCGGAUGUGAAAUCCCCGGGCUCAACCUGGGAACUGCAUUCGAAACUGGCAGGCUAGAGUCUUGUAGAGGGGGGUAGAAUUCCAGGUGUAGCGGUGAAAUGCGUAGAGAUCUGGAGGAAUACCGGUGGCGAAGGCGGCCCCCUGGACAAAGACUGACGCUCAGGUGCGAAAGCGUGGGGAGCAAACAGGAUUAGAUACCCGCGUAGUCCCUGUCUCUUAUAA